rnacentral:rRNA from 1 species
UGUCCAGUUCACGCCUUAACACGGCGAAACCGCGAAUGGCUCAUUAAAUCAGCUAUUGUUUCUUAGAUCUUACCCAUACUACUUGGAUAACUGCAGUAAUUCUGGAGCUAAUACAUGCCAAUUAUGCCUCGGCUUUAUUGCUGAGGCGGGUUUAUUAGAUCAAAAUCAACCAGCUUUCGGGCUGAGUUUUUUGAUGACUCUGGAUAACCAACCUGAUCGCAUGGCCUUGUGCCGGCGACGUAUCUUUCAAGUAUCUGACCUAUCAUCUGUCGAUGGUGAGUGAUAUGCUCACCAUGGAGAUCACGGGUAACGGGGAAUCAGUGUUCGAUUCCGGAGAGGGAGCCUUAGAAACGGCUACCACAUCUAAGGAAGGCAGCAGGCGCGCAAAUUACCCACUCUCAGCGAGAGGAGGUAGCAACGAAAAAUAACGAUGCAAGACUCAACAUGAGGCCUUGCAAUCGGAAUGAGUACAAUUUAAAUCCUUUAACGAGGAUCAAUUGGAGGGCAAGUCUGGUGCCAGCAGCCGCGGUAAUUCCAGCUCCAAUAGCGUAUAUUGAAAUUGUUGCAGUUAAAAAGCUCGUAGUUGGAUCUGAGGUGGGAGUCGUUAGUUCAGUGUUUCGCUGCGACUAUAUGUACUCUACCUUACACAGUCAUUAGACGCCUUGCGGUGCUCUUUAUUGAGUGCUGUAGGGUGCAUGGCACGUUUACUUUGAAAAAAUUAGAGUGCUCAAAGCAGGCCUCAGUGCUUGUAUAAUCUUGCAUGGAAUAAUGGAAUAGGACUUCGGUUCUAUUUUGUUGGUUUUCGGAAUCGGAGUAAUGAUUAACAGAGACUGCCGGGGGCAUUUGUAUGGUGGCGUUAGAGGUGAAAUUCUUGGAUCGCCGCCAGACAAUCUACUGCGAAAGCAUUUGCCAAGAAUGUCUUCAUUAAUCAAGAACGAAAGUCAGAGGUUCGAAGACGAUCAGAUACCGUCCUAGUUCUGACCAUAAACGUUGCCGACCAACAAUCAAGGGUGGUUUGACUAAUUGACCCUCUUGGCUGUCCCUGGGAAACCUUAAGUAAGGUUCUGGGGGGAAUAUGGUCGCAAGGCCGAAACUUAAAGGAAUUGACGGAAGGGCACCACCAGGAGUGGAGCCUGCGGCUUAAUUUGACUCAACACGGGGAAACUCACCCGGCCCGGACACUGUAAGGAUGGACAGAUUAAAAGCUCUUUCUUGAUUCAGUGGGUGGUGGUGCAUGGCCGUUCUUAGUUGGUGGAGUGAUUUGUCUGGUUAAUUCCGAUAACGAACGAGACUCUAACCUGCUAAAUAGUACACUGGUAUUGGUGCUCCAUUGUUGUGAGUACUUUCAUCAGUGCUGACUUCUUAGAGGGAUUUGCAGUAUUUAAACUGCACGAAAAAGAGCAAUAACAGGUCUGUGAUGCCCUUAGAUGUCCGGGGCCGCACGCGCGCUACAAUGACAGCUUCAGAAAGUUUUACAACCUGGUCCGAAAGGAUCGGGAAAUCUUGGAAUAGCUGUCUCCUCAGGGAUUGGGGUUUGUAAUUAUCCCCCAUGAACGAGGAAUUCCCAGUAGGCGCAAGUCAUCAGCUUGCGCCGAUUACGUCCCUGCCCUUUGUACACACCGCCCGUCGCUACUACCGAUUGAAUGGUUUAGUGAGGUCUUCGGACUGCGGUCUUUGAGAUGGCAACAUUUCUCAGGCUGCGGAAAGAUGAUCGAACUUGAU